AUGUUGCUCCUGGUAUUCAUGAUAUUUUCUCUCCUAAAAGAGAAUGCUGCUGCUGAUGUCAUAAAACCAGUCUUCACAGAGAAGCAGGUUUUGGCAGGAAAAGAUGUUACACUGAUCUGUAACUACACUGGCACAGUUCAGAGUUUACAGUGGUACCGUCAGUAUCCCGGAUCCAAACCUGAGCACCUCAUUAUGUUCUUUGAAACCAGCCCUAAACCAGAGCCCACUCUCCGUCUGACCGCUGCGGCUGAUAAAGCAGCCAAAAGUAUGAAUUUGACCAUCUUUUCUACAGAAGUGAAAGACUCUGCCAUGUACUACUGUGCCCUGCAUCCCACAGUGACAGGAAACACAACUACACUGUACAAAAACGUGUUUCUUGUAUAUUGUACAAUCAUGUUUGUAGCAGGGAGGAGCUUCUUCACAUGCAGAGUCUCUUUUCCCACUUUCCGUACAUUUGCUGUCGGGCCAUAA